rnacentral:lncRNA from 1 species
AAUAUAAAAAAUAAAGAGUAGAGUACAAUGCAAUUGGAUGAAGUAUAGAGCAUUUGGUGCUUAGUAUUUUGGACCUUUAGAUUAGCUCCUUCCAUCAUUUCUAAUUUUUAGAUUAAUUCUAUUAUCUUGUCGAGACUGCUCAAUCUUUGAAAUACUAUUCAGUCCUAUGGGGGACCGCAAUCAUUUCGAUCGUAUAAUUUUUAAUUCAAGAGUCAAAAAGUCGAAAGCAUCAACUCUUCUAUAUUUUCGAUAGUAUAGUAGCUCUACACAAAAAUAAAUAUUCAAAAAUUUUGAAUUUAGAUAUGAAUUUUAUCCCAAUCAAAACUCAAAUCCAAUCCGAAUCCGAAUAAAU